rnacentral:rRNA from 1 species
UUUAUGGAGAGUUUGAUCCUGGCUCAGAGUGAACGCUGGCGGCGUGCCUAAUACAUGCAAGUCGAACGAUGAAGCUUCUAGCUUGCUAGAAUGCUGAUUAGUGGCGCACGGGUGAGUAACGCAUAGGUCAUGUGCCUCUUAGUUUGGGAUAGCCAUUGGAAACGAUGAUUAAUACCAGAUACUCCCUACGGGGGAAAGAUUUAUCGCUAAGAGAUCAGCCUAUGUCCUAUCAGCUUGUUGGUAAGGUAAUGGCUUACCAAGGCUAUGACGGGUAUCCGGCCUGAGAGGGUGAACGGACACACUGGAACUGAGACACGGUCCAGACUCCUACGGGAGGCAGCAGUAGGGAAUAUUGCUCAAUGGGGGAAACCCUGAAGCAGCAACGCCGCGUGGAGGAUGAAGGUUUUAGGAUUGUAAACUCCUUUUGUUAGAGAAGAUAAUGACGGUAUCUAACGAAUAAGCACCGGCUAACUCCGUGCCAGCAGCCGCGGUAAUACGGAGGGUGCAAGCGUUACUCGGAAUCACUGGGCGUAAAGAGCGCGUAGGCGGGAUAGUCAGUCAGGUGUGAAAUCCUAUGGCUUAACCAUAGAACUGCAUUUGAAACUACUAUUCUAGAGUGUGGGAGAGGUAGGUGGAAUUCUUGGUGUAGGGGUAAAAUCCGUAGAGAUCAAGAGGAAUACUCAUUGCGAAGGCGACCUGCUGGAACAUUACUGACGCUGAUUGCGCGAAAGCGUGGGGAGCAAACAGGAUUAGAUACCCUGGUAGUCCACGCCCUAAACGAUGGAUGCUAGUUGUUGGAGGGCUUAGUCUCUCCAGUAAUGCAGCUAACGCAUUAAGCAUCCCGCCUGGGGAGUACGGUCGCAAGAUUAAAACUCAAAGGAAUAGACUGGGACCCGCACAAGCGGUGGAGCAUGUGGUUUAAUUCGAAGAUACACGAAGAACCUUACCUAGGCUUGACAUUGAGAGAAUCCGCUAGAAAUAGUGGAGUGUCUGGCUUGCUAGACCUUGAAAACAGGUGCUGCACGGCUGUCUUCAGCUCGUGUCGUGAGAUGUUGGGUUAAGUCCCGCAACGAGCGCAACCCCCUUUCUUAGUUGCUAACAGGUUAUGCUGAGAACUCUAAGGAUACUGUCUCCGUAAGGAGGAGGAAGGUGGGGACGACGUCAAGUCAUCAUGGCCCUUACGCCUAGGGCUACACACGUGCUACAAUGGGGUGCACAAAGAGAAGCAAUACUGCGAAGUGGAGCCAAUCUUCAAAACACCUCUCAGUUCGGAUUGUAGGCUGCAACUCGCCUGCAUGAAGCUGGAAUCGCUAGUAAUCGCAAAUCAGCCAUGUUGCGGUGAAUACGUUCCCGGGUCUUGUACUCACCGCCCGUCACACCAUGGGAGUUGUGUUUGCCUUAAGUCAGGAUGCUAAAUUGGCUACUGCCCACGGCACACACAGCGACUGGGGUGAAGUCGUAACAAGGUAACCGUAGGUGAACCUGCGGUUGGAUCACCUCCUUUCUAGA